rnacentral:tRNA from 1 species
GGAGAUAUGACAGAGUGGUUUAAUGUAUUCUCGUGCUAAGAGAAAGUGUUUUUGCACCACAGGUUCGAAUCCUGUUAUCUCUU